rnacentral:rRNA from 1 species
GACGUAGGGCGCGAGCGUUGUCCGGAUUUAUUGGGCGUAAAGAGCGUGUAGGCGGCCACACAGGUCAGCUGUGAAAACUCGAGGCUCAACCUCGAGACGUCGGUUGAAACCGUAUGGCUAGAGUCCGGAAGAGGAGAGUGGAAUUCCCGGUGUAGCGGUGAAAUGCGCAGAUAUCGGGAAGAACACCCGUGGCGAAAGCGGCGCACUGGGCCACAUCUGACGCUGAGGCGCGAAAGCUAGGGGAGCAAACAGG